rnacentral:rRNA from 1 species
CGCAUCUGUGCAUGCAGCAUAUCAAUAAGCGGAGGAAAAGAAACUAACAAGGAUUCCCCUAGUAACGGCGAGUGAAGCGGGAAGAGCUCAAAUUUGAAAUCUUAAAGGGUUUCCCUUUACGAAUUGUAGUUUAAAGGAAGUGUUUUCUGUUGAGGUUUUGGUAAAAGUUCUUUGGAAUAGGACAUCAUAGAGGGUGAGAAUCCCGUAUUUGACCUUUACUUUCAACUUUGUGAUACACUUUCAAAGAGUCGGAUUGUUUGGGAAUGCAGUCCAAAAUGGGUGGUAAAUUUCAUCUAAAGCUAAAUAUUGGCGAGAGACCGAUAGCGAACAAGUACCGUGAGGGAAAGAUGAAAAGAACUUUGAAAAGAGAGUUAAACAGUACGUGAAAUUGUCAAAAGGGAAGCGUUUGACACCAGUGUUGUUUUUCUGAAAAUCAAUUAAAGAACUGUUUAUGCUAAGCUGUUUAGACUUUAUCAGCUAACUGUUUAGUUUUGAGCUUUUCUUUAAUGCACUUUUCAGUUAACAAGUCAACAUCAAUUUCUUUUGCUGUAAAAAAGCUUGAGGAAGGUGGCUUGAGAUUCGUCUUAAGUGUUUAUAGCCUCUUGCCUAUGCAGUCGGAGAGAUUGAGGUCUGCAGCGUAGAUCCUUCGGGGCUAAAUGCAUUUGUGCUAAGUUAUAGCAUUUUAUAGACAACUUGUUGACUAUGAUUUGUCUUGUAGCUUACUCGCUUAUGUUAUUUUACCUACGCUUAGGAUGUUGAACGCGCACAGAGUCUC